rnacentral:rRNA from 1 species
UGAGCCUACGGGGCGCAGCAGUGAGGAAUAUUGGUCAAUGGGAGAGAUCCUGAACCAGCCAAGCCGCGUGAGGGAAGACGGCCCUAUGGGUUGUAAACCUCUUUUGUCGGAGAACAAAACCCGGGACGUGUCCCGGACUGCGUGUAUCCGAAGAAAAAGCAUCGGCUAACUCCGUGCCAGCAGCCGCGGUAAUACGGAGGAUGCGAGCGUUAUCCGGAUUUAUUGGGUUUAAGGGGUGCGUAGGCGGUCCGUUAAGUCGGCGGUAAACUUGAGGGGGUCAACCCUGGCGAGCCGUU